rnacentral:rRNA from 1 species
UUUUAUGGAGAGUUUGAUCCUGGCUCAGGAUGAACGCUGGCGGCGUGCCUAAUACAUGCAAGUCGAGCGAACAGACGAGGAGCUUGCUCCUCUGACGUUAGCGGCGGACGGGUGAGUAACACGUGGAUAACCUACCUAUAAGACUGGGAUAACUUCGGGAAACCGGAGCUAAUACCGGAUAAUAUAUUGAACCGCAUGGUUCAAUAGUGAAAGACGGUUUUGCUGUCACUUAUAGAUGGAUCCGCGCCGCAUUAGCUAGUUGGUAAGGUAACGGCUUACCAAGGCAACGAUGCGUAGCCGACCUGAGAGGGUGAUCGGCCACACUGGAACUGAGACACGGUCCAGACUCCUACGGGAGGCAGCAGUAGGGAAUCUUCCGCAAUG